GAUUUCUCUCUGGAGGGGUCUCGCAGGGCCCCCUCUGCGCUGCUUUCUCAGGCACCAGAACCGAAAUCCUCGGGAGGGACCGCGGGAGCCCGGGGCGUGCAGACAGGCGGCUUUCACAGACGCAGCGGGAGGAAGGAUCCCUCUACUGCUCCCUUUCCCGAUUUGACCGUCUAGGGCCUUUGAGAGGACUUUCCUUUUGGGAACGCUUUUCUCAAUUCGUGGCCUGUGGGCAGGCUGGGGGUGGGGCGCCAAGACAUCCGAGCGCGGCUUCCGCUUCUCCCUUUCCCUCACAGGCAUGCUCUACGGAGGGUAUGGGAGGCGAGGGCGCGUCUAUGAGGGCCAGAGUCCGCGAAGAGAGUCCGGCCCUUAGGCCUUUGGUGUUGAAGAAUCUGCUCCUCUGUCGGGUCAAGCCCCACUAGAAGUUAACACCUGUGGUCUCCAAACUUGCCUAUUUUCCUGUCACGCAGUUCAAGCCAAGAUUCAACUCGUCUUGAAUUUUUGUAUUUAGAGCCCCUACCUUCUCCACCGACUCCAGGGGCGCCCUCUGGCGGGAAGGGGCCUGGGGUAGGAGGGAACCUGAGGGAGCGGGUUACAAAGCAGAGAACAACGGGAGCUCAGCAGCCCCCUUUGAAUUGCGAGGAAACCAAGACUGAGACGGGAGGUAACCGACCCUGUGAGGCCCGCGCUGCCGUGCUCCGCCGCGAAUCCGCCAGACGCCCCCGUCGGAAGGGGCGGGAACACCCCCGGGGGCGCUCUAGGGCUCGUGCUGCUCUAAGUGUGAAGAGGAAAAGUAAAACCAGCAGCAAGAAGACUGUAGAGACCCAGCUGUGAGAAGACAGCGGCCCAUUCACUACAGUGGCUCUGGGUUCUGGCCUCUGGACUCAUGACUGGACCAAGCCCUCCAGGAAUCACUUUGUCUCCCCUCUCUCAUUCCCUGAUGAAGACAAGUCUCCGUGAGGUUGUUGCCGCCUCUUAGCUAUUAUGAAUAAUGAUGCAAUGAACAUGAAGAUACAGAUGUCUUUUCAAGG